GAUUGAUAUCUUAGUUUAUCACAACAGUAUUAAACCAACUGAACAAAAGUUAUUUGGCAACCACUUCGAAAGCCCGGAUGCUACAAUUUACCACAAUGACAUUAAACCAACAGAACAGAAGUUAUUUGGCAACCACUUCGAGUCAAGCCCUGAUGCUACAAUUUACCUCAACGAUAUUAAACCAACUGAACAGAAGUUAUUUGGCAACCACUUCGAGUCAAGCCCGGACGCUACAAUUUACCACAACGAUAUUAAACCAACUGAACAGAAGUUAUUUGGCAACCACUUCGAGUCAAGCCCGGAUGCUACAAUUUACCACAACGAUAUUAAACCAGGUGAACAGAAGUUCUUUGGCAACCACUUCGAGUCAAGCCCGGAUGCUACAAUUUACCACAACGAUAUUAAACCAAUUGAAAUGAUUAAAUCUUUUGUUAGCAAAUUCUUGUCAAACCCUGAUGCUACAAUUUAUCAUGAGUAACCAGACUCUGCUUUCAAUCGUGUGGAGAGAG
rnacentral:lncRNA from 1 species